CUGGUCCCUCAGAUCCCCCUGCAGGGGCAGGAAUGUCUGAGCCAGGGCAUUGUUUCUGUGGAAUCUUCCCACCAAUGAAUCUCCCAGCAGGACCAACUGUUUGGCUGUAUUUAAACUGUCAUUUAGCCAAGGCAGUUUGCUGGCACACCCAACUUCAACCCAGCAAGCACAACAGGUCUGCAGCUCGCGCCAAAGCUUGUUUAAACAUCAUUUGAACCAAACAGCCAGUCAAUUUAAAAAUACUCCAAGCCAAAAGCCAAUGAGAUUUGAAAACAAGAAAAACUGAAAAUGAAAAUAAAAGGGAAAUAUAUGAA
rnacentral:lncRNA from 10 species